CGCGGCCUAUCAGCUUGUUGGUGGGGUAAUGGCCUACCAAGGCGACGACGGGUAGCCGGCCUGAGAGGGCGACCGGCCACACUGGGACUGAGACACGGCCCAGACUCCUACGGGAGGCAGCAGUGGGGAAUAUUGCACAAUGGGCGAAAGCCUGAUGCAGCGACGCCGCGUGAGGGAUGACGGCCUUCGGGUUGUAAACCGCUUUCGCCUGUGACGAAGCGUGAGUGACGGUAAUGGGUAAAGAAGCACCGGCUAACUACGUGCCAGCAGCCGCGGUGAUACGUAGGGUGCGAGCGUUGUCCGGAUUUAUUGGGCGUAAAGGGCACGUAGGUGGUUGAUCGCGUCGGAAGUGUAAUCUUGGGGCUUAACCCUGAGCGUGCUUUCGAUACGGGUCGACUUGAGGAAGGUAGGGGAGAAUGGAAUUCCUGGUGGAGCGGUGGAGUGCGCAGAUAUCAGGAGGAACACCGGUGGCGAAGGCGGAUCUCUGGGCCAUUACUGACGCUGAGGAGCGAAAGCGUGGGGAGCGAACAGGAUUAGAUACCCUGGUAGUCCACGCCGUAAACGUUGGGAACUAGGUGUUGGCGACAUUCCACGUCGUCGGUGCCGCAGCUAACGCAUUAAGUUCCCCGCCUGGGGAGUACGG
rnacentral:rRNA from 1 species